UCGGGAAUUUUGGGCAAUGGGCGAAAGCCUGACCCAGCAACGCCGCGUGAAGGAUGAAGUAUUUCGGUAUGUAAACUUCGAAAGAAUGGGAAGAAUAAAUGACGGUACCAUUUAUAAGCUCCGGCUAACUACGUGCCAGCAGCCGCGGUAAUACGUAGGGAGCAAGCGUUGUUCGGAUUUACUGGGCGUAAAGGGCGCGUAGGCGGCGUGUCAAGUCGAUUGUGAAAUCUCCGGGCUUAACUCGGAACGGCCAAUCGAUACUGACGUGCUAGAGUGCAGAAAGGGCAAUCGGAAUUCUUGGUGUAGCGGUGAAAUGCGUAGAUAUCAAGAGGAACACCUGAGGCGAAGGCGGGUUGCUAGGCUGACACUGACGCUGAGGCGCGAAAGCCAGGGGGAGCAAACGGGAUUAGAUACCCCGGUAGUCCUGGCCCUAAACGAUGAAUACUUGGUGUCUGGAGUUUCAAUACUCCGGGUGCCGUCGCUAACGUUUUUAGUAUUCCGCCUGGGGAGUACGCUCG
rnacentral:rRNA from 1 species